rnacentral:rRNA from 1 species
GCACAAGCGGCGGAGCAUGCGGAUUAAUUCGAUGCAACGCGAAGAACCUUACCAAGGCUUGACAUACACCGGUAACGCCCAGAGAUGGGUGCCCCUUUGUGGUCGGUGUACAGGUGGUGCAUGGUUGUCGUCAGCUCGUGUCGUGAGAUGUUGGGUUAAGUCCCGCAACGAGCGCAACCCUCGUCCUAUGUUGCCAGCGGGUCAUGCCGGGGACUCAUGGGAGACUGCCGGGGUCAACUCGGAGGAAGUGGGGAUGACGUCAAAUCAUCAUGCCCCUUAUGUCUUGGGCUUCACGCAUGCUACAAUGGCCGGUACAAAGGGCUGCGAUACCGCGAGGUGGAGCGAAUCCCAGAAAGCCGGUCUCAGUUCGGAUUGGGGUCUGCAACUCGACCCCAUGAAGUCGGAGUCGCUAGUAAUCGCAGAUCAGCAACGCUGCGGUGAAUACGUUCCCGGGCCUU